rnacentral:rRNA from 1 species
CCUACGGGUGGCAGCAGUGAGGAAUAUUGGUCAAUGGGCGGAAGCCUGAACCAGCCAAGUAGCGUGCAGGAAGAAGGUCCUUAGUAUCGUAAACCUCUUUUGUCGGGGAACAAAGGCGGAGACGCGUCCCCGGAUGAGUGUACCCGAAGAAAAAGCAUCGGCUAACUCCGUGCCAGCAGCCGCGGUAAUACGUAGGGGGCAAGCGUUAUCCGGAUUUACUGGGUGUAAAGGGAGCGUAGACGGUGCGCCAAGUCUGGAGUGAAAUGCCGGAGCUUAACUGCGGAACUGCUUUGGAAACUGGCGGUCUAGAGUGCGAGAGUAGUAUGCGGAAUGCGUGGUGUAGAGGUGAAAUGCGUAGAGAUUGGGAGGAACACCGGUUGCGAAGGCGGCUUACUGGAUCGAAACUGACGUUGAGGCACGAAAGCGUGGGGAGCGAACAGGAUUAGAUACCCUUGUAGUC